rnacentral:tRNA from 1 species
GCCUUCGUGAUGUAACGAUAGCACACUCGGCUGGUGUUCGAGAGGUUCAGGUUCAAGUUCCGGUGAGGGCA